rnacentral:rRNA from 1 species
UACAGAGGCCUCGAGCGUUAGGCGGAAUCACUGGGCUUAAAGCGUGUGUAGGCGGACUUCUAAGUGCCUUGUGAAAUCCCACGGCUCACCCGUGGAACUGCUGGGCAUACUGGGAGUCUUGAGCCACCUAGGGGCGAGCGGAACAAAUGGUGGAGCGGUGAAAUGCGUAGAUAUCAUUAGGAACGCCAACGGAGAAAUCAGCUCGCUGGGGGUGUGCUGACGCUGAGACACGAAAGCCAGGGGAGCGAACGGG